UUAAGUGACUAAAGUAGAAUGGAAAAAUUAGUCACUUACAUAAGGGUCUUGGGAUAUUUGGGGUUAAGCGUCCUUGGGUUUGAAUAGUACUGGGUUGGGUGACCUCCUGGGAAGUCCAAAUUCAGAAGCUUACA
rnacentral:rRNA from 1 species